AACGAACGCUGGCGGCAGGCUUAACACAUGCAAGUCGAACGCAUCCUUCGGGGUGAGUGGCAGACGGGUGAGUAACGCGUGGGAACGUGCCCUUCAGUUCGGAAUAACCCAGGGAAACUUGGGCUAAUACCGGAUACGUGCGAGAGCAGAAAGAUUUAUCGCUGGAGGAUCGGCCCGCGUCUGAUUAGCUAGUUGGUGAGGUAAUGGCUCACCAAGGCGACGAUCAGUAGCUGGUCUGAGAGGAUGAUCAGCCACAUUGGGACUGAGACACGGCCCAAACUCCUACGGGAGGCAGCAGUGGGGAAUAUUGGACAAUGGGCGCAAGCCUGAUCCAGCCACGCCGCGUGAGUGAUGAAGGCCUUAGGGUUGUAAAGCUCUUUCGUCCGGGACGAUAAUGACGGUACCGGAAGAAGAAGCCCCGGCUAACUUCGUGACAGCCGCCGCGGUAAGAC
rnacentral:rRNA from 1 species